GGCCAGACUCCUACGGGAGGCAGCAGUGGGGGAUAUUGCACAAUGGGGGAAACCCUGAUGCAGCGACGCCGCGUGGGUGAAGGAGUACUUCGGUACGUAAAGCCCUAUCAGCAGGAAAGAAAAUGACGGUACCUGACUAAGAAGCCCCGGCUAACUACGUGCCAGCAGCCGCGGUAAUACGUAGGGGGCAAGCGUUAUCCGGAUUUACUGGGUGUAAAGGGAGCGUAGACGGCAGUGCAAGUCCGGAGUGAAAGCCCGGGGCUCAACCCUGGGACUGCUCUGGAAACUGUAUGGCUGGAGUGCAGGAGAGGUAAGUGGAAUUCCUAGUGUAGCGGUGAAAUGCGUAGAUAUUAGGAGGAACACCAGUGGCGAAGGCGGCUUACUGGACUGUAACUGACGUUGAGGCUCGAAAGCGUGGGGAGCAAACAGGAUUAGAUACCCCUGUA
rnacentral:rRNA from 1 species